UACCUCAUCAAUUGGAAGGAAUCCCUUCCAGUUGAUGAGGUGCAAAUACCUCAUCAAUUGGAAGGAAUCCCUUCCAGUUGAUGAGGUG
rnacentral:miRNA from 1 species